GCUUGUUCAACUGCUGAAGUUUACAAGCGCUUUCGAUUGGAUAAAACCAGUCAGAUUGAUCCUUUAACAUUAUUGGAGAAGAUCUCAAGGAAUGGAAUAUCUCAAGAUGUUUGUAUCAAUGAUUUGGAACCUCCUGCAUUUGAAGUUCUCCCAUCCCUUAAAAGAUUAAAACAGCGUAUAAUUGCAGCCAGCCGUGGACAAUAUGAUGCAGUUUUUAUGUCUGGGAGCGGAAGUACCAUUGUUGGGAUUGGUUCACCAGAUCCUCCACAAUUUAUAUACGAUGAUGAUGACUACAAGGAUGUUUUCGUGUCAGAGGCAAACUUCUUGACCCGUGAAGAAAAUCAGUGGUACAAAGAACCUGCUUCAACUGCUACUUGUAGUUCCCAGUCCGAUAUCGUUCCCAGUCUAUUGAGUGACAUAUCUUGUAAGAAAAACGACAUACAUGAAUUUUUUUUAGGAUUUCUCAUUAAUGUUAAUUUAUGCCGCCUGUAGUUUUGUCCAUCUUAGGAAUAGGUUUUUAAGUUAAAUUUAUUGUCAUGAACAAAUAAGAGCAAUUGCUCAACUCAAAUCGUGUACUAGUUGCAGUUUCACUGGCAAAUUGUUCACUUUGCAAGGUACAUAAC
rnacentral:misc_RNA from 1 species